UGUUUGGCAUGAUGCGGCCGAUAUAUGGGCUAUCAGACCACAAUAGCGGCCCUUUGUGUAAGGCCGGUUGCGGGCAUAGCGGAAAGCUUAAAAAAAAUUAGACCACCAAUCCUCUUAUCCGAUUAUCCCAUCCCCUUCUCCUGGCGGCGGGCGGCUGGCACUUCCCUGGCGGCGGCGCGGCUAACGCCGGAGGCCGGAUGGAGAGGCAAAUCCAGGCUCACCAUCACCGGAUGCCGCCACUCCCCUAGCCCAUCUUCCCCUGCCGGUCUUUGAGGGAGCAGCCAACACGACGGCCACCUCAUCGCUCUUGCUCGACGCCUUUCCCUGGUCGACGACUGGCCGGUGCGGGACGACACGGCAAGAUGGUGGGCAGUACCUCGCUGGGACGGCGGUGCUCAAGCUCAAUGCCCAGGUCCCCUCGCUGGUCCCUGUUCGACGCCCUACUAGUCGACGUCCCAAUCCGAUACGUGGUAAUUCAGUCAACUAUCUGCACUUGUAAUUAAGAAGACCAAGAAGUGUACAUGGAUCUGAAUGGAGAAGAGGACGAGGAUGGCGAAUGACUUGUGCAUCUUCCAUGAUCAAAACUGGAUCUGUUUAGUUUUGCGUGAUGGUCGUGGUCUGACUUGUAUGGUUGCAUCUUCCAUGAUCAGAACUGGAUCUAUUUUUUUGUGUGUGAUGGUCGUGGUCUGACUUUUAUGGUUGGUUGGUAGUUUUUGUUUGCAUGGUUACAUGGUUGAAUAUUGUACAAUGGACUAAUUGUAGUGUAUAUGUGUUGUGUCGUA